AACGAACGCUGGCGGCGUGCCUAAGACAUGCAAGUCGUGCGGAAAGGCUCCUUCGGGAGUACUCGAGCGGCGCACGGGUGAGUAACACGUGGGUAAUCUACCUGAGGGUCUGGGAUAACUCCGGGAAACUGGGGCUAAUACCGGAUGAGACCACAGCGUCUUUGGACGCAGCGGUCAAAGAUGGCCUCUCCUUGGAAGCUAUCGCCUACAGAUGAGCCCGCGUCCCAUAGCUAGUUGGCGGGGUAACGGCCCACCAAGGCGACGAUGGGUAGCUGGUCUGAGAGGAUGAUCAGCCACACUGGAACUGAGACACGGUCCAGACUCCUACGGAGGCAGCAGUCGGGAAUUUUGGGCAAUGGGCGAAAGCCUGACCCAGCAACGCCGCGUGAGGGAUGAAGGCCUCGGUCGUAACC
rnacentral:rRNA from 1 species